GCCUGGGUGACUCAGUUUGGUUGAGUGUCCAACUUCAGCUCAGGUCAUGAUCUUGCAGUUCAUGAGUUCAAACCCCAUUUCGGGCU
rnacentral:tRNA from 1 species